AUUGAACGCUGGCGGCAUGCCUUACACAUGCAAGUCGAACGGUAACGCGGGGGCAACCCUGGCGACGAGUGGCGAACGGGUGAGUAAUACAUCGGAACGUACCUGGUAGUGGGGGAUAGCCCGGCGAAAGCCGGAUUAAUACCGCAUACGCACCACGGUGGAAAGCGGGGGACCGCAAGGCCUCGCGCUAUCAGAGCGGCCGAUGGCAGAUUAGCUAGUUGGUGGGGUAAAAGCCUACCAAGGCGACGAUCUGUAGCUGGUCUGAGAGGACGACCAGCCACACUGGGACUGAGACACGGCCCAGACUCCUACGGGAGGCAGCAGUGGGGAAUUUUGGACAAUGGGGGAAACCCUGAUCCAGCGAUGCCGCGUGUGUGAAGAAGGCCUUCGGGUUGUAAAGCACUUUUGUUCGGGAAGAAAUCUGUCGGGCUAAUACCCUGGCGGGAUGACGGUACCGGAAGAAUAAGCACCGGCUAACUACGUGCCAGCCGCCGCAGUAA
rnacentral:rRNA from 1 species